UGGGGAAUAUUGCACAAUGGGCGCAAGCCUGAUGCAGCCAUGCCGCGUGUGUGAAGAAGGCCUUCGGGUUGUAAAGCACUUUCAGCGAGGAGGAAGGUGGUGAGCUUAAUACGCUCAUCAAUUGACGUUACUCGCAGAAGAAGCACCGGCUAACUCCGUGCCAGCAGCCGCGGUAAUACGGAGGGUGCAAGCGUUAAUCGGAAUUACUGGGCGUAAAGCGCACGCAGGCGGUUUGUUAAGUCAGAUGUGAAAUCCCCGGGCUCAACCUGGGAACUGCAUUUGAAACUGGCAAGCUAGAGUCUCGUAGAGGGGGGUAGAAUUCCAGGUGUAGCGGUGAAAUGCGUAGAGAUCUGGAGGAAUACCGGUGGCGAAGGCGGCCCCCUGGACGAAGACUGACGCUCAGGUGCGAAAGCGUGGGGCAGCAAACAGGAUUAGAUACCCUGGUAGUCCACGCUGUAAAACGAUGUCGAUUUUGGAGGUUGUGCCCUUGAGGCGUGGCUUCCGGAGCUAACGCGUUAAAUCGACCGCCUGGGGAGUACGGCCGCAAGGUUAAAACUUAAAGGAAUUGACGGGGUCUAGCUG
rnacentral:rRNA from 1 species